GACGAACGCUGGCGGCGUGCUUAACACAUGCAAGUCGAACGGAAAGGCCCCUUUGGGGGUACUCGAGUGGCGAACGGGUGAGUAACACGUGAGUAACCUGCCCUUGACUUCGGGAUAACUUCAGGAAACUGGGGCUAAUACCGGAUAGGAAUCCUUGCUGCAUGGUGGGGGUUGGAAAGCUUCGGCGGUUUUGGAUGGACUCGCGGCUUAUCAGCUUGUUGGUGGGGUAGUGGCUUACCAAGGCUUUGACGGGUAGCCGGCCUGAGAGGGCGACCGGCCACAGUGGGACUGAGAUACGGCCCAGACUCCGACGGGAGGCAGCAGUGGGGAAUAUUGCACAAUGGGCGGAAGCCUGAUGCAGCAACGCCGCGGGCGGGAUGACGGCCUUCGGGUUGUAAACCGCUUUCAGCAGGGGCGAAGCUUGUGGUGACGGUACCUGCAGAAGAAGCACCGGCUAACUACGUG
rnacentral:rRNA from 1 species